ACUCUUCCAGGUGCCAGUGCCGAAUCGCCCGAACUUUACCCGUGGACCAGAAACCAGACUGCCGUCCAUACUGGGAAAAGGACGAUGCCUCCAUGCCUCUGCCCUUUGACCUCACAGACAUCGUCUCAGAACUCAGAGCUCAGCUUCUGGAAGCAAAGCCCUAGAAGGAGCACAGUCUUAGGUGGAGAAGGAGAAGACAUCCUUGGCUUCUCUCCCGCAACCUUAUCACGGGCGUGGGCAAAGUGUAGGCCUCUCUUGGCCCUCAGGUUGUAGAACCUGAGUCCCAAUUCAAAACAGCUAGGGAAUGGAGCCCGUGAAUAGUAAGAUGUUGAAAAACAACAGUGCCAUAGUCCAAUUUGGUAUUCAACAAGAACUUCCCCCCAAAACCUUGGCCACUUGGGAUUUUUUUCAUAGGAGACUGUUAGCCCCGAAGGGCCAAAGGAGGUAGCCCAACCUGUGACAGAGCCUCACCUCCUUUCCUCCUUCACCAGCCUCCUCAGAGAUGUAGAGUGGGCCCAGUUGUCUGGGGAAAGACAGAACUUAGAGUUGUCCAUCCCAGUUCCUCACCAUGCCCCCUAGAGGUGUACCAUCCAAUAUGGCAGCCUCUCGCUGACUGUGGCAUCUCAAGUUUAAGUUCACUUUUCAUUACAAAUUCAGUUUCUCAGUUGCCCUCACUAUAUCUAGUGCUUCACAGCCACAUGUAGCUAGAGACUAGUGUGUGGGGCAACACAGAUAGGAAUAUUUUCAUCAUUGUAGAAAGUUCUGUUGGAGGAAGCGUUCACGAGCAGGUGUUCCCUUUUCCAAUUCCUUGUAGUUGCUAUUCCCACAGGAGAAUGAGAUUAAAAGAGCAACGACUCUAAAGAGUAGCCCCUUUCCCUUUUCAGAGAAAAAGCUCAGUGAAAUCCUGAGCUGUGAGUCCUGCACACCACGGUCGGGCAUGGGACAGUGUUACCCAUUAAAACAAAGCUGACAUCCCGUCUUUAGGGACUUUCCCUGAUCUGAUGACAGAGACCAGCCCAAUUUACAUUGCAUCAUGAAUUUAGCCAGCAUAGCACAAGUUUUUCUCUAAUUCCCCCAUGUGCAGAUAAUGAGCCUUGAAGAACCCCAGUGCUCCAUCCUAAUGACAUUGACACUACAGACACACCCGGGGGAGCAGAGGUUGAACCCGGCCUCUGGCUUCAGAGUGCCUGAAUUAAGAUCCCCCCACUACCUAUGUGGCCUCUGGCACAUUCUCCUGCCUCAGUUUCCUCAUCUCUAUAACGGGGAUGCCAAAGGUGUCCGAUCCCAAGAUGAAGACUCAGUGACGUGAUCUAGCUGCAGACUUAGAUCAAUUCCUGGCACAUUGUUAAGUUCUAGAUAAACGUGAGUGUCGUUACGUAUCAGUAAGUGGACAUGGAUGUGGAUGUCUUCCGCUCCCUUUCUGAAUCGCUGUGCCAGUUUUUGUCUUGUGAUGCCAUCAUCACUUCUUUCCCUUUCUGGCUUGGCUCCUGCCCUUUGGUGUCCCCAGAAAUCGUGAGGAUAGUUAGCCCUCUCCUCGGCGUGUCACCUCCCCCCAUAGUCUUCACAGUAGUUUAGAAACUGGAGAACUUUGGCCCUGGGGAGGUGCACAGAGCAUAGCCUUCUCCCUUCAGGAUCUGAUGGAAGAAGGCACUCUGUCCCCUGGAGGUGGGAAAGUGAGACCGUCACGCUGAGACUCUCAGACCCUGGACUUAUUCCUUGCUGUCUUUGAGCCUCGGUUUCCUCAUCAGUAAAAGAGAUGAGAAAGGUGUUGACAGGGCCCCAGCCCCCGACCACCUGGCCCCUCUUUAUUUUGCACCCUUGGUGUUUGUCCUUUGUUACAUUUCAUUAGGUGCCAAUACUUUUAAAUUGGGAGAAUUCGUGUAAAAUUCAAAUGUCUGCAUUCUCUUUAAAAUUUGGAGCACCUGCCAGUCCUAAGCCUGCAUCGAAGCAUGGCACCAGGCUAAGUGGCAGCGUCUCCCCACUCUGAAGUGGGCGUGACCCCCUGUGGUUUGCAGUGGACCCUGUUGCUCCCUGUUUUCGUUUACUGUAAACCUGAUCUGCUUCACCCCUCAUGUCCACGCUUUCCAAACCUGCUUGCUCCUACCCCAGUAGUAAGAAUCACUAAUGUUUAGUGCGUACCCCCAAAUUUGUGUAUCCUACCCAACUAUAUUCAUGAACUGCUUGUACUAAUCUGUUGUGUGCACCAUUAAGCAUUCAUAUACAAUAAAGAUAUUAAAAGGAUAAGACACAGAGGCUCCGUGCUUUGCUC
rnacentral:lncRNA from 1 species